rnacentral:rRNA from 1 species
UACAGAGGUCUCAAGCGUUGUUCGGAUUCAUUGGGCGUAAAGGGUGCGUAGGCGGCGCGGUAAGUCGGGUGUGAAAUCUCGGAGCUUAACUCCGAAACUGCAUUCGAUACUGCCGUGCUUGAGGACUGGAGAGGAGACUGGAAUUUCCGGUGGAGCGGUGAAAUGCGUAGAGAUCGGAAAGAACACCAACGGCGAAAGCACUCUGCUGGGCCGACACUGACACUGAGAGACGAAAGCUAGGGGAGCGAAUGGG